CAGUGGCGAAGGCGGCUUGCUGGGCCGGACCUGACGCUGAGGCGCGAAGGCGUGGGGAGCGAACGGGAUUAGAUACCCCGGUAGUCCACGCAGUAAACGAUGCACACUAGGUGUGGGGGGUAUCGAGCCCCUCCGUGCCGUAGUCAACACAGUAAGUGUGCCACCUGAGGAGUACGGCCGCAAGGUUAAAACUCAAAGGAAUUGACGGGGGCCCGCACAAGCAGCGGAGCGUGUGGUUUAAUUCGAUGCAACGCGAAGAACCUUACCUAGACUUGACAUGACCCGGAAAGGCCUGGAAACAGGUCCCUCUUCGGACCGGGCCACAGAUGUUGCAUGGCUGUCGUCAGCUCGGGUCGUGAGAUGUUGGGUUAAGUCCCGCAACGAGCGCAACCCUCGUGUGAUGUUGCACAUCAUCGCAGACUGCCGGUACAAGCCGGAGGAAGGUGGGGAUGACGUCAAGUCCGCAUGGCUCUUACGUCUAGGGCUACACACACGCUACAAUGGUCGGGACAGAGCGCAGCCACGCCGCGAGGCGGAGCGAAUCGCAAAACCCGAUCUCAGUUCGGAUGGCAGGCUGCAACCCGCCUGCCUGAAGUCGGAGUUGCUAGUAACCGCGUGUCAGCAUAGCGCGGUGAAUAUGUUCCCGGGCCUUGUACACACCGCCCGUCACGUCAUGGGAGCCGCCAACACCUGAAGUCCGUGGGCCGACCCGCAAGGGGGGUAGCGGCCGAGGGUGGGGGGGGUGACUGGGACGAAGUCGUAACAAGGUAACC
rnacentral:rRNA from 1 species